GCAAAGCUUUCGUAGCUCAGUUGGUCAGAGCAUCGGACUUUUAAUCCGGGGGUUGCGGGUUCGAAUCCCGUCGAUUGCA